AAAUUAUCUCACAAAAGCAACUUGAAGAAGGAAGGGUUUACUCUGACUCACGGUUCAAAGGAUGCAGUCCAUCGGCUGAGAAGGUUUAGUGGCAGAGGCUGGUCACAUUGUAUCUAUUGUCUGGAGGCAAAGAAGAGAUAAAUGAAGUCGAAUGUCCUCUGUUUCAGUCGUGAUGGUAUUACCAGUGGUUAAGCCUGUGCCUGGUGUAGGAGGGUCUCCACAAAUCCUUCCUGUGUCACACAAACACGUCUUCCUCUUUUCAUGCAGUUGCUUAGCUGCUGUCUGAGGGUCCUGGAAACAGCUGGCAGCUUCGCUGAGUGUAGCGACUGCGUAGGACCCCACGUAGUACACUGAACUGGUACAGGAGCAUGACCCAGUGUGAACUGGACAGAAUCACCUUCCCUGGAAACAACACAAAGAUCCUACGAUGCAGGCAAUGGAAGGGAGAAGACCCAGAAAGAAAAGAAAGAAAGAAAAAGAAAAAAGAAAA
ensembl:lncRNA LOC108349057 uncharacterized LOC108349057